rnacentral:rRNA from 1 species
UACGUAUGGUGCAAGCGUUAUCCGGAUUUACUGGGUGUAAAGGGAGCGCAGGCGGCACGGCAAGCCUGAUGUGAAAGCCCGCGGCCCAACCGCGGGACUGCAUUGGGAACUACCGGGCUGGAGUGCCGGAGAGGUAGGCGGAAUUCCUAGUGUAGCGGUGAAAUGCGUAGAUAUUAGGAGGAACACCAGUGGCGAAGGCGGCCUACUGGACGGUGACUGACGCUGAGGCUCGAAAGCGUGGAGAGCAAACAGG